CAUUCCAUAGUAUGCCAACCUUUCACAACAUUCAUUUGCUGAACAUAUAUGUGUUGGGAAUUAGGCCACAUUUAAUUCAAAUCAUCAAGAGCAAUUAAAAUAGCGAGAAGAUCAGCACACAAAAACACAGCAGUGUUUGGACAAUGCAACUCGAAAAGAGGCAUUCCAUCAGGAUCAAACCCAACUUGGUUUUGACUUAGUGAUCGAUAUCUAUAACAUUCUUCUUCAAUGUUUGGGCGAUGUAACUCUAAAAGAGCUUGAUUGGUGAUGAGAAACAAAUAGCCUAGCGCCUGGUAGCGGGCAACCCAGAGCCAGAGUAGGCGGCUCAAUGCCAGUGAGGUGUAUAGGUGCCAAACGAAAGGUUCAGGCGGAAUCUUGUCGACAGUAAGGGUGCUCAAGCACUUAGAAGACUCGUUUCCAACAUUCUAGAACAUAUCACCCUGAGGUGGCGACCAGGCACAUGCAAUCGGUUUUUGCAGUUCGAGACUUUAAGUUUCGUGUUUCUACACAGCAGGAGGUGCGUGCAAAUUGUGUGAAGCGGUGCUAUGAGUUGGUGUUGGAUUUUUGUGAGUUCUUUCGUGUGAAUGUUAAAUGAGAGUGUUUGUGUGUUCCAAGAGAGUAGAGACAUGAGUUUGUAAUGUGUAUAAUUUCUUCUUAUUUCAUAGUGAAUUUCUUGGUGUGA